rnacentral:rRNA from 1 species
UACGGGGGGGGCAAGCGUUGUUCGGAAUUACUGGGCGUAAAGGGCUCGUAGGCGGCCAACUAAGUCAGACGUGAAAUCCCCAGGCUUAACCUGGGAACUGCGUCUGAUACUGGAUGGCUUGAAUUCGGGAGAGGGAUGCAGAAUUCCAGGUGUAGCGGUGAAAUGCGUAGAUAUCGCUUGGAACGCCGACGGUGAAAACAGCUCGCUGGGGAUUCGCUGACGCUGAGACACGAAAGCCAGGGGAGCAAACGGG